rfam:Salmo salar isolate Sally breed double haploid chromosome ssa22, whole genome shotgun sequence.
CGCACUAACUACUGUAAGUCGCUCUGGAUAAGAGCGUCUGCUAAAUGACUAAAA